rnacentral:rRNA from 2 species
CCUACGGGAGGCAGCAGUGGGGAAUCUUAGACAAUGGGCGCAAGCCUGAUCUAGCCAUGCCGCGUGUGUGAUGAAGGUCUUAGGAUCGUAAAGCACUUUCGCCAGGGAUGAUAAUGACAGUACCUGGUAAAGAAACCCCGGCUAACUCCGUGCCAGCAGCCGCGGUAAU